AAUGCCCUACUGUGUACGUGUAAAGUCGCUAAAGUUUUGAGCUAACACUGAUCAUACGGGAGCCUGACUUUAUGUGUGGUAUAGAAGCCCCAAGUUUAAGGGGACCUAUAAAGCACAUAAGAGGGCACCCACCUGCUGGGAGAGCAGUUCAAAACAGCGGCUCCUACGUCAUGGUGGGGUUAUU
rnacentral:other from 2 species